AGUGGAGUCUGUAUCACCACCACAUCCCUGAUGGAUGGAGCUAGAGAGAAGAACCAGGGAAUCAGGGCAGCAGCCGUCACAGUCCUGGGUCUAAAAGAAGACUCUCCAUGUUGGAAGAGGACUGAGUCCAGGCUCUCCACAUUUAUGGAUGAUUCCAUCUGCUCCUGGGCCUUUUUACAAGGGGUAUUCUGUGGGAUAUAACCUUGUCCCACCAUGACUGGUAAAAUGGUUGGGUUUAGACAGGAA